rnacentral:rRNA from 1 species
GAUAAACGCUAGCGGCAGGCUUAACACAUGCAAGUCGAGGGGCAGCAUAGAUUGUAGCAAUACAAUUGGUGGCGACCGGCGCACGGGUGCGUAACGCGUAUGCAACCUACCCGUCACAGGGGGAUAAUCCGGAGAAAUCUGGUCUAAUACCCCAUAACAUAUGGAUCGGCAUCGGUUCAUGUUGAAAUUUUCGGAGGUGACGGAUGGGCAUGCGUAGCAUUAGCUUGUUGGUGAGGUAACGGCUCACCAAGGCGACGAUGCUUAGGGGGACUGAGAGGUUUGUACCCCACACUGGUACUAAGACACGGACCAGACUCCUACGGGAGGCAGCAGUGGGGAAUAUUGGUCAAUGGGCGCAAGCCUUAACCAGCCAUGCCGCGUGCAGGAUGACGGCUCUAUGAGUUGUAAACUGCCUUUGUACGAGGGUAAAGUGGGUUACGUGUAACCUUUUGAAAGUAUCGUACGAAUAAGGAUCGGCUAACUCCGUGCCAGCCGCCGCGGUAA